CUGCUUAUGUUUUAUUUGUCUUAUGGAUUUUCUGUACAAUUACACUUGUGCAGUGAUUGUGCCGCCAUUCAGCUCUGGAUUCCUGCCCCUGCACUGGCUGAGGUGUUUAUGAUUCAAAUCGUACUAGAUGGAUAACCGUGCGUUGUUUGACACCCCUUCUUUUUUGUUUUUUUUACAACGUUACUCAUUAUUAAGCCCCUCUAUUGUGUGUGUACAGAUAUAAAUUGAACGAUACUUUCUCCGUUUCUAAUUAAUUGGCGCCAGCUAUUUUGCAAAGAAAUUCCUGUAAAUUUUCGAAAUAGACCUGCAGUUGAUAGAUUGGACAAAAAGAAACCACCCAGCGCUUGUGGCUUGCUCUCAGUGCACCGUUUUCUUCAGCUUUAGAUUUGAGAACUGCAAGUGUCAGAUUCUACCCCGCUAAGCUAGUUGAACGUUAUAUGUGAAAACUUGCAAUAUUUUAAUUCGAUGUUGCUUAAUAAAACAAUAUUAUAGUGGCAGAUAUUGUUCUGUAUAAGCUAUGUAUGAGAUAAACUCAGUUAAUUACCUCUCUCCAUAUAUUCUUCAGUAUGUAUGAUUAACGUUCUGAAAUGCAUGCAUUUUAUGCCGUGCUAAGAUUUCCUUGAAAAAACCGUAUAGCACAAAAAAGAUCGAGCACAAACACCAGAUCUGACAU
rnacentral:lncRNA from 1 species